GAUGAACGCUCGCUACAGGCUUAACACAUGCAAGUCGAGGGGAAACGACAUCGAAAGCUUGCUUUUGAUGGGCGUCGACCGGCGCACGGGUGAGUAACGCGUAUCCAACCUGCCCACCACUUGGGGAUAACCUUGCGAAAGUAAGACUAAUACCCAAUGACGUCUCUAGAAGACAUCUGAAAGAGAUUAAAGAUUUAUCGGUGAUGGAUGGGGAUGCGUCUGAUUAGCUUGUUGGCGGGGUAACGGCCCACCAAGGCGACGAUCAGUAGGGGUUCUGAGAGGAAGGUCCCCCACAUUGGAACUGAGACACGGUCCAAACUCCUACGGGAGGCAGCAGUGAGGAAUAUUGGUCAAUGGACGAGAGUCUGAACCAGCCAAGUAGCGUGCAGGAUGACGGCCCUAUGGGGUGUAAACUGCUUUUAUAAGGGAAUAAAGUGAGUCUCGUGAGACUUUUUGCAUGUACCUUAUGAAUAAGGACCGGCUAAUUCCGU
rnacentral:rRNA from 1 species